CGUGCACAAAAUUUGAAAAUUUGUCAUUAUGGGAGAAUUAACGAUCAAUUCAAAUAAGUCUCCAAAACCCAACUUACGCCGAUGAUCUUUUGUAUGUGUAUGUAUUGUGUGGGUUUUGGGGUGGGGCAAGUUAAUAUGCCUUCUUCUUCUUGACAGAGAAAAAGUUUAGUACACCUUGGGAGACCGGCAGGAAAAGACCUAAUUUUCCGUGCGAGUCGGACGUACCAGCAGGGGCGAAAUCCCCUUGGGCCCCAGUGGCCAUCUUGUGAAAUGUGCCACCCGUGAAGUGGAAGAGAUACGCCGCCUGCCGCGGUGAGGAAUCAGAAGGACGGAAGUAUUUGCUGCAAUUGGCGUCCAGUGGCAAUUACCGUGCCACUGCACACUCCCCGUCAAAUUUGGGAGUUCCGCCAGGGCGAGGGAUUUUAUCCGGAGCCUCUCGUGAUCCACAACUUGUGACACAACUCACUCUCAGGCAAUUCAGUGAGUUCUGCGGAGUUUGAAGCUCAUCAGAAGCAGCAGUGAUCCACCAUCGGUGACGACAGCCUCCCAGCCAAUUUAGGGAGCACUGUCAAGGCGAGGGAUUGCAUCCGGAGCCUUUCGUGACCUGCAAUUCGUGUCACGACUUACUCCCUGACAAUUCGGGAGUUCAGCAGAGGUGGAAGAGCGUCUGUGACGACAGUGAUUCAUCACCCAAGCCGGCUCACUCCCCGUCAAAUUGGAGAGUCUCACCGAGCCGAAGAAAUUCAACUUGGGCAUCCCGUGAUCCAGCGAUUGUGCCUUCCCGUGGGGUAGAAACAUCCCCCACGAAUCUAGUGACGUCGUCAAUUGCGUCACACGGCAAUUGGGAUCACCCGGCCAUCUGUGUACGGGCCUGGGUGCGAGGAGAAAGAAGUUAUCAACGACGACGCGGGAUCUCGAGCUUCUGAAGGAAGUGCUGUGACGGCGACAGCGAAUGCAGAGUAUCGCGACAACAAGAGACGCCGCCCCUGAUGACGUGAAGAAGAAGGAGCCCGAUUGUGUAUUGAGGGGCUGAAUAAAUCGUCCCCGUUUGAGGACCAAGAGGAAAAAUGAUUUCUAUAAAUGGCGCCCAACCAGCGGUGGAACCAGAGAAAAAGUUUAGUACACCUUGGGAGACCGGCAGGAAAAGACCUAAUUUUCCGUGCGAGUCGGACGUACCAGCAGGGGCGAAAUCCCCUUGGGCCCCAGUGGCCAUCUUGUGAAAUGUGCCACCCGUGAAGUGGAAGAGAUACGCCGCCUGCCGCGGUGAGGAAUCAGAAGGACGGAAGUAUUUGCUGCAAUUGGCGUCCAGUGGCAAUUACCGUGCCACUGCACACUCCCCGUCAAAUUUGGGAGUUCCGCCAGGGCGAGGGAUUUUAUCCGGAGCCUCUCGUGAUCCACAACUUGUGACACAACUCACUCUCAGGCAAUUCAGUGAGUUCUGCGGAGUUUGAAGCUCAUCAGAAGCAGCAGUGAUCCACCAUCGGUGACGACAGCCUCCCAGCCAAUUUAGGGAGCACUGUCAAGGCGAGGGAUUGCAUCCGGAGCCUUUCGUGACCUGCAAUUCGUGUCACGACUUACUCCCUGACAAUUCGGGAGUUCAGCAGAGGUGGAAGAGCGUCUGUGACGACAGUGAUUCAUCACCCAAGCCGGCUCACUCCCCGUCAAAUUGGAGAGUCUCACCGAGCCGAAGAAAUUCAACUUGGGCAUCCCGUGAUCCAGCGAUUGUGCCUUCCCGUGGGGUAGAAACAUCCCCCACGAAUCUAGUGACGUCGUCAAUUGCGUCACACGGCAAUUGGGAUCACCCGGCCAUCUGUGUACGGGCCUGGGUGCGAGGAGAAAGAAGUUAUCAACGACGACGCGGGAUCUCGAGCUUCUGAAGGAAGUGCUGUGACGGCGACAGCGAAUGCAGAGUAUCGCGACAACAAGAGACGCCGCCCCUGAUGACGUGAAGAAGAAGGAGCCCGAUUGUGUAUUGAGGGGCUGAAUAAAUCGUCCCCGUUUGAGGACCAAGAGGAAAAA